AAUAUACUCCCUCCGUCCCAAAACUCUUGUCUUAAAUUUAUCUAGAUACGGAUGUACCUAAUACUAAAACGUGACUUGAUACAUCUAUAUUUAGACAAAUCUAAGACAAGAAUUUUAAGACGGAGGGAGUAUGAU
rfam:Triticum aestivum genome assembly, contig: Triticum_aestivum_CS42_TGACv1_scaffold_436636_5DL